rnacentral:rRNA from 1 species
AGUGAACGCUGGCGGCAGGCCUAACACAUGCAAGUCGAACGGCAGCACAGUAAGAGCUUGCUCUUACGGGUGGCGAGUGGCGGACGGGUGAGGAAUACAUCGGAAUCUACUUUUUCGUGGGGGAUAACGUAUGGAAACUUACGCUAAUACCUCAUACGACCUACGGGUGAAAGCAGGGGAUCUUCGGACCUUGCGCGAUUGAAUGAGCCGGUGUCGGAUUAGCUAGUUGGCGGGGUAAAGGCCCACCAAGGCGACGAUCCGUAGCCGGUCUGAGAGGAUGAUCAGCCACACUGGAACUGAGACACGGUCCAGACUCCUACGGGAGGCAGCAGUGGGGAAUAUUGGACAAUGGGCGAAAGUCUGACCCAGCAAUACCGCGUGAGUGAAGAAGGCCUUCGGGUCGUAAAGCCCUGUUGUUAGGAAAGAAAAGCAGCAGGUUUAACCGACGCUGUUCUGACGGUACCCAAAGAAUAAGCACCGGCUAACUUCGUG